CUACAAUCAUGAUCCCAAAAGAUCUGGCUAUUGCUUGUGCUGGAAUCACCCAUGUGAUGGUGGAGUUCUAGGAAGGCAGAAAGCAAGUAUUGUGGCGUCCUCAAGGCUUCCACCUAGAUAUCUAAGAAAAGUAUGGAAAACCAAGCACAGGGUAGCAAAGUCAGUGUGCCUGCAGGAUGUCCCUGAAAGGGUGAGUAUGAAUCUGUGAGAGUGAAGCCAAGCUACAACGGAGACCCCAGGACAUCAGAAAUGCCCGGAACCUGGAAAGUGUGCCAAAGAAAGGAGCUAUUUGUGCCACCAUGUGUCAUUUGCUCUUUCCAUGAUGUGCAGUACCCCCAGAAGCCCCAAAAUGGAGCAAUCAACCUCAAAUCUCCAAAACUAACCAUGUGACAUACUCCUCCUAAACUCCGAUUGGAGUGAAUCUCAGGAUGUUCCCCCCCCCUCAAUGUCUGCUGAAGACUAUUUACCCGCUGUCUUUAACAGGAUAUUUAUGUCUCCAUGCAAACCCUCUACUGGAAUUUAGUCCCUAAUGUGGCAGUCCUUGGAGAUGCGAUUGUUGAAGAUGAAUGGGGAGGUGGUUAGACCAUGAGGUGAUACCCUCACUGAUGACACUGGUGCCUUUUUAAGGUACACCCCAGAGAGCUCCUUUUCAUGUCCUGCCAUAUAAAGACCAGAAGAUGGGUGGGCACCCAUGUACCAGCACUCCAGCCUUUACCGGAUGUGUGGGCACCUUGACUUCAGAUUUCCUAGCCCUCAAAAUAUUGAGAAAUAUUUA